rnacentral:rRNA from 1 species
AUUGAACGCUGGCGGCAGGCUUAACACAUGCAAGUCGAGCGGGGGAAGUUGCUUCGGUAAUUGACCUAGCGGCGGACGGGUGAGUAAUACUUAGGAAUCUGCCUAUUAAUGGGGGACAACAUCUCGAAAGGGAUGCUAAUACCGCAUACGCCCUACGGGGGAAAGCAGGGGAUCACUUGUGACCGUGCGUUAAUAGAUGAGCCUAAGUCGGAUUAGCUAGUUGGUGGGGGAAAGGCCUACCAAGGCGACGACCUGUAGCGGGUCUGAGGGGCUGAGCCGCCACACUGGGACUGAGACACGGCCCAGACUCCUACGGGAGGCAGCAGUGGGGAAUCUUGCGCAAUGGGCGAAAGCCUGACGCAGCGACGCCGUGUGAGGGAAGAAGGCCUUCGGGUUGUAAACCUCUUUCAGGAGGGACGAAGCCACUCGGGUUAAUAGCCCAGAGGGUGACGGUACCUCCAGAAGAAGCCCCGGCUAACUACGUGCCAGCAGCCGCCGUAAUAC